rnacentral:rRNA from 1 species
UACGUAGGUGGCAAGCGUUGUCCGGAAUUAUUGGGCGUAAAGCGCGCGCAGGUGGUUUCUUAAGUCUGAUGUGAAAGCCCACGGCUCAACCGUGGAGGGUCAUUGGAAACUGGGGAACUUGAGUGCAGAAGAGGAAAGUGGAAUUCCACGUGUAGCGGUGAAAUGCGUAGAGAUGUGGAGGAACACCAGUGGCGAAGGCGACUCUCUGGUCUGUAACUGACGCUGAGGCGCGAAAGCGUGGGGAGCAAACAGG